GUCAGAGUUAGCGCUAUGCUCACCUAGGGCGCCUGCUCUAUGAGGGAACAGGCUGCCUGCCACGUGGGGGAGGAGGGAGAGAGAGAAUGACAUGGAGGUGUAGGGACAUGGACAGAAUGGGUAGGAAGACAUGGAGAGGAGGGGGCAUGGAUGGAAUUGGUAAGGGGACAUGGAGUGGGAGGAAUGGAUGGCAGGGGUAGUGGGACAUGGAAUGGAGGGGGGGAGAGACAUGGAGUGGGACAUGGGUGGAAAUGUAAGGGGACACAGAGGGGUAGCUGAAUUUGGAGGGGGGAGAGACAUUGUUGGAAUGGGUAGGAGACAUGGAGGGGAGGGGGACAUGGAUGGAAUGCAGAGUGUGUUAAUGUGUCGCGAAUGCAGAGUGUGUGUCAGUAUAGUGGAUGCAGUGAGUGUGUUAGUGUGUAGUGUAUGCAGAGUGUAUGUU